UAAAAUGCUGCAAAUUGCAAUAAUAAAAUUAAAUCAAACAACCAAAAAACAUAACAAAGAACCACAGCAGCAUCUACAAAGCAACAAUUCAAUUGCACAACAAUUUAUUAACCCACCUUUUGUUAAUGUGUUCUUUCUUAUACUUUUUCCCUCUAUUCAUUGGACGAAAUCCUGGUAUUAAUUCCGACAAAAUUUGUUUCUUUGCUUUUUCCCUCCACAAAUUCGACAAAGACAGUCAAAGAAGAAACAAAUUUAUUUGAACUCCUCGUUAAUUAUUUUGUAAUUCAUAAUUUAGUUUUGUAUAGCCCAUUUCGUAGCAGCUGCAUUCCAUUAUAACACACUGCAAAUCAAAUUAUGUACAGUCUCUUGCCCACUGAGUUCUAAGAUUUGUUACUGCCUGCGGCAUGCAAAAUGUUACAAAUAAUAUCAAUCAAAUGCAACAUCAUAAAAUAACCGGAAAAGACUGCCAAGCAACUGUUUCGUUUUCAGUGUGCUCGUACUAAGUAUUUUCUUGGCUGUUUGUUCAUCGCAAACAAAAAACUAAUGCAUUAAAAUCUAUCGAGAAAUGUCUCCUCAUAACACUUGUAGUACACAUGAAUAGAUUUAUACGCAGACGCGCCAUUGUGUAUGACCUAUAUAUACAUAUAUAUACAAAUUAAUGAUCGUAGUAAACAGUUGUAGUUUAGUUACACAUACAUAUGUAGGCGCAGCUUACUCUUACAGAUAAAAAGUAGAAACGCUUUCGCUGCUCCUCAAAAUGUAAAUUGGGACAAAACAUAGCUAAAAUCCAGAAUAAUACACAAGACAACAUUUUAACACAUUUGCAUAUACCAUAUAUAUUCGAGAAUUGGUUUUAAUUGCAGGCCCACUCACAUACAGGUAAUUUUGCCACAAAUAUGGAAUAUUUAUUGAAUAAUAGAGCCAACUAAAAAGGGUAUCUGAAGCAUACGAUUUUGUCAGAGGCUCUUCAUAAUUUAUAUAUAAUUUAUAGAUAUUCAUUGUCCUGCGGUUCAAAACCUUUUUUAUUUCAACUCAGGAACUAUCUUUAGGGAAAUUUUAAGUCAUCAAUAUAUGAAGAUAAGAAUAAUAAGAAGCUGUAUUUAAAAAUAAAUCUUUAAAUUAAUUGGAGAAGUCGAAUAUUUCCUCUCCUAAAUUUCAAACACCACACACUUCCUCAAUACUAAAAUUUAAUCCUUUUAAAAAGUUUAACACACUUAACCGAAUAGUAUGUGGCUCCUUUUGUUGAUUACAAACUAACGAAUAUGAUUGAGAAAUUCAGCGAAAUUUAUUAACAAAUUAACUCAACGAAACCCAUUGCCAUGAUCAAAAUGAAGACAAAAACAAAAAACCAAAACGAACAAAACGUGAAAAAUUAUCAUUAUCAAUCAAUUCAGUUAAUUCUGUUCGUUGAAGUAAUUCGUUUUUGUAUAACUCUUUCUUAUAAAAUCUUUAUUAUAGCAUAAGUGAUUCGAGUUUAAAAACCACCGAGUGCUGAGCUUCGAACACUGCGAUAUACUUGCUGGAUGAGUGUCCGAAGAGUUCGAAGCGAAACAAAAAAAAAAAAAAAAAAAAA
rnacentral:sRNA from 1 species